rnacentral:rRNA from 1 species
UGGAUAAGGCAUGCAAGUCGAGCGAUCCCCGCAAGGGGAUAGCCGCAAACGGGUGAGUAACGCGUAGGUAACCUACCCCAAAGAGCGGGAUAACUUGGAGAAAUCCAGGCUAAUACCGCAUAUACCUGCAGGCGCGCAUGCGCCAACAGGGAAAGAUGGCCUCGACCGCAAGGUUGCUAUCGCUUCGGGAGGGACCUGCGUCCCAUCAGCUAGUUGGUAGGGUCACGGCCUACCAAGGCGUAUGACGGGUAGCUAGCCUUAGAGGGCGGUUAGCCACACAGGAACUGAGACCCUGUCCAGACUCCUACGGGAGGCUGCAGUCGAGAAUCUUUGGCAAUGGACGAAAGUCUGACCAUGCGACCCCCCCUGCGGGAUGACGGCCUUCGGGUUGUAAANNG